rnacentral:rRNA from 1 species
AGUGAACGCUGGCGGUAGGCCUAACACAUGCAAGUCGAACGGCAGCACAGUAAGAGCUUGCUCUUACGGGUGGCGAGUGGCGGACGGGUGAGGAAUACAUCGGAAUCUACUUUUUCGUGGGGGAUAACGUAGGGAAACUUACGCUAAUACCGCAUACGACCUACGGGUGAAAGCAGGGGAUCUUCGGACCUUGCGCGAUUGAAUGAGCCGAUGUCGGAUUAGCUAGUUGGCGGGGUAAAGGCCCACCAAGGCGACGAUCCGUAGCUGGCCUGAGAGGAUGAUCAGCCACACUGGAACUGAGACACGGUCCAGACUCCUACGGGAGGCAGCAGUGGGGAAUAGUGGACAAUGGGCGCAAGCCUGAUCCAGCCAUACCGCGUGGGUGAAGAAGGCCUUCGGGUUGUAAAGCCCUUUUGUUGGGAAAGAAAAGCAGCAGGUUAAUACCCCGCUGUUCUGACGGUACCCAAAGAAUAAGCACCGGCUAACUUCG